CCACAACAUGCCCAACAUUGAAUUUCUCUACCUCGCCUAAUUUUCCCUUUCCUUGCCCUUUAGUAACAUGUCCACUCUUCGGCUUACCACUCCCAUUCUCCUCAAAAUUCAACCCCUUGUGUUUACGUUCUGUUCCUGCCUCAAUAACUAAAUCAUCACCACUAUACACCACUCCUCUUAACAACCCGUUUCCCAGACCGCAAGUUCAAAAUCCCCG
rnacentral:misc_RNA from 1 species